CCUACGGGUGGCAGCAGUGAGGAAUAUUGGUCAAUGGGCGCGAGCCUGAACCAGCCAAGUCGCGUGAAGGAUGACUGCCCUACGGAUUGUAAACUUCUUUUAUCAAGGAAUAAAGUGAGGCACGUGUGCCUUUUUGUAUGUACUUUAUGAAUAAGCAUCGGCUAACUCCGUGCCAGCAGCCGCGGUAAUACGGAGGGUGCAAGCGUUAUCCGGAUUUACUGGGUGUAAAGGGGGCGCAGGCGGCAGCGUAAGCCAGGGGGGAAAGCCCGGGGCCCAACCCCGGGACAGCUCUUGGAACUGGGCGGCUUGAGUGCAGGAGAGGCAGGCGGAAUUCCUGGUGUAGCGGUGAAAUGCGUAGAUAUCAGGAGGAACACCGGUGGCGAAGGCGGCCUGCUGGACGGCGACUGACGUUGAGGCCCGAAAGCGUGGGGAGCAAACAGGAUUAGAUACCCUUGUAGUC
rnacentral:rRNA from 1 species